AUAUAUAUAUAUAAAAUUAGCACAACUUUUUCAAGCAUUGAUAAUAAGCAUGAAAUCAGCAUUAUAUGAUUUCUGAAGGAUCAUGUGACACUGAAGACUGGAGUAAUGGGAGUAGAAAAUUUUGCUUUGCAUCACAGAAAUAAAUUACAUUUUAAAGGAUAUAAAAAUAGUAAAAAGUAAAUUAAUUUGUAAUAAUAUUUCACAAUAUUAUUGUUUUUUCUGAAUUUGAUUAAAUAAAUGCUUUCAAAAGCAUUAAAAAUAGUAAUGUUUCCAGACAAGAUAAAAAAAUAAAAAUAAAAACUGAUUCAAUUUGGCCCCCCUCUCCAUUAUACUGUUGAAAGUGCUUUUGCUUUUAAGAUUAAUAUUUUGUAUUAAAUCAAAUUUGAUGAUUACUCGAAUAUCAUGUUUAUAUUAAACUUAUUUUUUUUGUUAUAUAUAUAUAUAUAUAUAUAUAUAUGUGUGUGUGUGUGUGUGUGUGUGUGUGUGUGUGUGUGUGUGUGUGUGUAAUGAAACUAAACUCAACAUAUGGUAAAAAAAUUGUAAAAUCUUCCCACUUAGUUACAUUUGGAUGUAGUAACGUAUAAGUAUUUAUAGUUAAAUUCAGGCUAAAUCAAUGGCAUGCACUGUCUACACCCAACUAUGACCAUAGGAACAAUUUUAUGAACCACAUUUUUCUUCAAACACAGGAGGUGAAAUAUUAUUGUGAUUUGACCAAAAAGCUACUUUAACUGUCGCGCCUAUUGUUUUUGCGGUCCACUUAAAGACUUUUCAGUGUGUUUUCCUGGUUUUCAACACUACAAUCAGUUUUGAUUAAACUCCAGUGCAAUAGGUGGCGGUAUGCAUAGUGCUGCCCCUCAGUAAACAGGAGAACAGGAGGUUGGGCUAUUUCCGCUUUAGAAUAUGCGCACAGAAUGGCAAGCGGACGCAUCGCUGGAAAACACAGAGAGAGAAAGCCCUAUAAAAGGGAGGCUUGUUGUUAUUUCGGAUUCUCAGACUGGCUAUGAAACAAUCCGUUUGUGAAGAGACAGAUGCUGAAACCCAUCAUAACAUUGGAGGAUUUUGGGCCAUACUUACAUGUGAGUCAAAAUAUAUAAUUGGCCAAUUUCACAAGAAUCAGAAAUGUGACACUGAGGGAUGUUAGUUAUAUUAUGAUUCACUGCCAAUUGCAGUAAUAUGCGCUUUUCUCAAAUAAUCCUUCUUACCUUUUCUGUAUUGUCUUUUCUCAAACUUGCUGUUAAAUAAUUUUUACUUGUUUGUAUCUUAAACGGCCACUCAUACCAUGCUUGAUUGCCAAAUUUUUAAUUGUGUUGAAUUUUUAUCUGACAAAUAGGUGUCAUCUGGCUGGAAAUGACACAAAAAGGUGACAAAAGAAAGUAAUUUUGUCAGAGAUUUUUUUUUUCAUCUACAGAACAUUCCAUGUUCACAGCUAUUCACACUCUUUCUCAAAAAAAAAAAAAACUGUGUAAAAGUCUUCAUUUUUCAUCACAGCAGUUAUUUUGCACAUUUCCACUGGGAUUUUGGACCACUCCUCUGCAAAGAUCUCCAGGUCCUUGAUGUUGGAAGGCUUCCUGUCCAUCAAUCUGGUCUUCAGUUGUCUUAACACAUUUUCAAUUGGAUUCAGGACUGGACUCUGGCUUGGACCACUUUUGAUGUGUGUUGUGGGUCGUUAGAUAACUCGUAACAUACAGCAAAAGGGGUCAAGAAAUGGUUGGCAGAGAACAAUAUCAAUAUUUUAGAGUGGCCAAGUUUCAAACUCUGCUCUAGUUUGUCUUCAUUUUUCAUAUUGCCUGUGCAUAAUUUUGCUGGCUUCCAUGGCAGCUAACACUAUAAAUCAGGGGUCACCACACUCAUUACUGGAGGACCAGUGUUCUGCAGAGUUUAGCUCAAACUUGCCGCAGUUCACCUGCCUGAAAGUUUUUAGUAUACCUGGCAAGACUUUGAUUAGCUAGUUCAGGUGUGUUUAAUUAGGGUUGGAGCUAAACUCUGCAAGGCACCAGCCCUCCAGGACCAAGUUUGGUGACCCCUACUAUAAAUAAAUGCAUAAUCGCUUACUUUAAUGUUCUCUGUAUUUACUUCUGUAUGACUCAGUGCUGUGUGACGUUUUCAAGAAUUGGGCUAUUUUUUUUUCUUUGUUGCUGUAGGUUGUUUUUAAAGUCUGUGGGUUGAAGUGACCUCACUAAUGCGAUAUUAAGGGCCAUUUUCAAACAUGUAUAACAUUUUCUGUGUAUAUAUGCAUAGUUCAUUUAUUUAUUUAUUGCCCUAGUUGCUUGGAAUUUGCUUGGUGAGCUCAUCAACAUACAUUAAAAUACAUACAUACACAUACAUAAAUCCAACUAUACAUGGGAAAAUUAAGGAAGCAUUCACAAACAAACUAACAAUCGAUGCUAAUUGCUGUCUAAUUUAUUUCUGUGUUCCAGUGCCUGGUGUUCUAAGGUUCACUUCUUGGCUUGAUGAAUGAAGUUUUAGCAAUCUCAACAAUGGACUCGUUUCCUUCCUUUUUGGUGUCUCCUGUACUUUCUGUUUGGAGGUCAUUGCAUGUGUCUGAUUGAGCAACUGUCAUUAUGCAUUUCUGUUUGCAGUGCUUUGCUUAAAUUUUGAACCCUUAGCAACAAUAAAAGUCUUUGGAGUUUUCCAUUUGGGUUGUGGUUGUACAUGUUUUCCUUGAUUUAAUAUCCUUAUGGAUAUGUGCAAUGCAACAAUUUAUUUCACACUAAAAAAAAUGAACCAGCUAUAAACACUUUUUUUUUUGAGCUGCAUGUGGUAUAGCAGUCUUAAAUGCAAUAACUAAAAUAAUAAUUUUCCUAAAUAACUUUUCUUGUUGGCUUAUCAACAGUUUAAUAUGUAAAUGGAAAUAAUUAAUUUAAUGGUCUUACCUGUUAUUUUCCACUUUUCUUUUGUUCACGUUUUCCUUGGCUGCAUUCAUCACUCUAUAGCAUUCUUUAAGAACUCCUGGGAUGCAACCUUAUUUUCUUCAUGCAUGAAUGAGUGAAUGAAUGAAUGAUGCAUUUAUAUAGCGUUUUAUUCUGUAUUGUUGUACACCCAAAGCGCUUUACAUCAUGUGGGGGGGUCUCUCCUCAACCACCACCAGCAUGCAGCAUCCACCUGGCUGAUGCAACGGCAGCCACAGGACAACGGCACCAGUGCGCUCACCACACACCAUGGGGAAUGCAUAAACCUA
ensembl:lncRNA